rnacentral:rRNA from 1 species
GCGGCGGACGGGUGAGUAAUGCGUAGGGACCUGCCUUCUAGAGGGGGAUAACUUUGGGAAACUGAAGCUAAUACCGCGUACGCUCUGAGGAGGAGAGCUAGGGUGAGAGCUCUGGUGCUGGGGGAUGGGCCUACGUUCCAUUAGUUAGUUGGUGAGGUAAAGGCUUACCAAGGCGACGAUGGAUAGCUGUUCUGAGAGGAUGUACAGCCACACUGGGACUGAGAUACGGCCCAGACUCCUACGGGAGGCAGCAGUGGGGAAUUUUGGACAAUGGGGGCAACCCUGAUCCAGCGAUGCCGCGUGUGUGAAGAAGGCCUGCGGGUUGUAAAGCACUUUAGACGUGGAAGAUGGGUUGAUGAGUGAAUAGCUUAUUGAUUUGACGUUACACGAGGAAUAAGCACCGGCUAACUCUGUGCCAGCAGCCGCGGUAAUACAGAGGGUGCGAGCGUUAAUCGGGGUGAUUGGGCGUAAAGGGCGCGUAGGUGGUUUAAGCAGUCAGAUGUGAAAGACCCAAGCUUAACUUGGGGGCGGCAUUUGAGACGCUUGAGCUCGAGAGAGAUAGAGGGGAGUGGAAUUUCCGGUGUAGCGGUGAAAUGCGUAGAUAUCGGAAGGAACACCAGAGGCGAAGGCGGCUCCCUGGGUCUUAUCUGACACUGAGGCGCGAAAGCAUGGGUAGCAAACAGGAUUAGAUACCCUGGUAGUCCAU